rnacentral:rRNA from 1 species
AGGGAAUCUUCGGCAAUGGGGGCAACCCUGACCGAGCAACGCCGCGUGAGUGAAGAAGGUUUUUCGGAUCGUAAAGCUCUGUUGUAAGUCAAGAACGGGUGUGAGAGUGGAAAGUUCACACUGUGACGGUAGCUUACCAGAAAGGGACGGCUAACUACGUGCCAGCAGCCGCGGUAAUACGUAGGUCCCGAGCGUUGUCCGGAUUUAUUGGGGC